rnacentral:lncRNA from 1 species
UGGAAAAAAAUGGUUGCUUAAAGCAAUUUUUUAAUGAAUAUUUUCUACUAUCCAAAAGAAAAUUUUGUUUAUUUGUUUAUUCUGUAUUGAUGGGAAUCUUUUAUCAACUUCCAAAUGUGCAUCGGUGUGAAAAACAAAUGCUGAUAGAUCAGCAAUAAUUAGAAACUUCAUUUCUUACAUGAUCUAAAACAAAAAUGAAUGAAGAUGAUGAUGAAUACUUUCGUAUAGAAGUACUAUUGAAAUACAUUAUUUCAGUCUGUGGCAGACAAAACAAACCGCUCUUGAUUUGCCAACUAUAAAUGCAAAUCCAAGACUUACAAACCUGUGCUUAUUGCAUAUACCAUGCACAUUGAAACAUUCUUUUCAAUACACAAACUAAAAAAGGAAAAAUCUGAUUCCAGAUAUUUUGGCAUGGAAAGGGAGGAGAAGAAUGAAGAAUAGUGAUCAGUUGUGCAGUGGGUUUGGUCCUCCGGGGACAAGUAGAUGUGAGACGCCGUGAACAGCCUCGUACUUGCUUCUUAAGUUGGGUUGUGUUUGGUAGUAGGGAGGCCCGGUGAUUUGCCGACAACUGGAAGUAUGGAGUGUUGCUAACACAAUUGCCAAAAUCACAAGGGGAAGGAAAGGACUAAGAAUUCUCAUCCUCUGAAAAUGACCCAAAAUGGAAUCACGGAAACUGGACAUUCUGAGUUGGAUUUCUGUGUUUCAAUCUCUAUAUAUAACGUUAAAUAGGCAACCUGUUUCCAAUUAUCGCUCCU